GACGAACGCUGGCGGCGUGCUUAACACAUGCAAGUCGAACGAGAGCGUAGAGAAAGCUUGCUUUUUCUACAAUCUAGUGGCAAACGGGUGAGUAACGCGUAAACAACCUGCCCUACGGAUGGGGACAACAGCUGGAAACGGCUGCUAAUACCGAAUACGUUCCGAAAGUCGCAUGACUAUCGGAAGAAAGGAUGGCCUCUAUUUAUAAGCUAUCGCCGGAGGAGGGGUUUGCGUCUGAUUAGCUAGUUGGAGGGGUAACGGCCCACCAAGGCGACGAUCAGUAGCCGGUCUGAGAGGAUGAACGGCCACAUUGGAACUGAGACACGGUCCAGACUCCUACGGGAGGCAGCAGUGGGGAAUCUUCCGCAAGGGGCGAAAGCCUGACGGAGCAACGCCGCGUGAGUGAAGACGGCCUUCGGGUUGUAAAGCUCUGUUAUACGGGACGAAUAAUCUUGUGGUUAAUACCCAUGAGAAGUGACGGUACCGGAAGAGAAAGCCACGGCUAACUACGUG
rnacentral:rRNA from 1 species